CUCUUUGGCAUCAGGCUCCCCACCAUCAGUAGUUAGCUCUGUGGCCCACCCUGAUGAAGCUCAGUACCUGGCACUGCAGCAUUUAGUUACUGAUGCCCUUAUGGUGGCUAUGGGCUCUAUGUACUCUGCCCUCUCUAAAACCAUCUCCCAGGCCCUACUCUUGAGCCCGCAGGACGCAAGGUGUUCAGAUUCAGCUAUUCAGCUAUGCGCCAGCC